AGAUCAUUUGAUUAUGGUGAGAGAUAUAUAUAUAUAUUUAAAAUUUAUAUGAAUUUUGUUUUAAAUUUGAUUUUAGUAGUAUUUUAUUUUAAUUAUUAAGUAAUUUUAGAAUUAGUAAUAUAAUUUAGUAUUUGCGUAUUUUGUGCCAGCAGCAGCGGUUACACAAAGAAUACUAUAUAUAGUUAUUAGUAUUAAUUAAUAGAGUAUUGUUGAAAAUAAAAAUUUAAAUUUUUAGGUGAAAUUUUAAUUUAUAUAAAAUUUUUAAUUUUAUUUAUGAAGUUAAGAAAUUUUUUUUUUAAACUAGGAUUAGAUACCCUAUUAUUUUAAAUGUAAAUAUUAAAACUAAGUGAUUAAUAGUUAAGUUCUUUAAAGCUAAAUAAUUUGGCGGUAUUUUUACUUUUCAGAGGAACCUGUUCCAUAAAUGAUAAUCCACGAUUAGAAAUACUUUAAUUAGAAAUUUUUAUAUCGUCGUUGUUAAAUAUUUUAAUAGAAUAUAAUAUUUAAUUAAUUUUUUAAAUUUAAAAUCAGAUCAAGGUGAAGUUUAUAUUAAAGAGGAAAUGGGUUACAUUAAAUUUAAUUUAUGGAUUAUUAAUUUUAAAAAUUUUAUGAAAUUGGAUUUGACAGUAAUUAAUUAUAUAUAUUUUUAAUGAUUUAGUUCUAAAAUAUGUACAUAUUGCCCGUCGCUUUCAUUUAAGUUGGAAUAAGUCGUAACAUAGUAGAUUUACUGGAAAGUGUUUCUAGAAUGA
rnacentral:ncRNA from 1 species